GGACGUCUCCCUUGCUAGUGAAAGAGUUGGCUGUUUUUGGUGCAGUGAUGAAUUGGGAUGGCAAUGCUAUUUAAGGAGUGUAUGUGUUAACUUUCUUGCUGUCCUGAUAAAUACCCAACCCAAGCAGUUUAUGGAAGGAACUGUUUGUUUAUUUUGGCUCCUAGUCCAAGAUAAAGAAAGGUCCCUCAUGGCAGAGGGCGUGUGGAGGCAGGAACCCAGGCGGUUGGUUACAUUGUAUCCUUACUCAGGAUGCAGAGAGUGACAAAAAAAUAGUAUUGUUGACCUCGUCGGAUUCCUUUGAGGAUCAGAUGUCUGACCACUACGUAAAAUGCUUACUCCUGUGGCUGGGAGCUAAUGACGGUUGAAUUAGGUACCGCUGCUGUUACUGUUGGUAUCUGCCCAAAUGAAGAAAUGGAGGCAUGGGAUUGUUAAACCAGGAUGCACACACACAGGCAGCUGGAUUCGAGCACAGAAUAUUGCUAUACAUGACUUAAGGUGAUUGGCCAAUUUACAGAAGUGUGUGUUGUGGUACCAGCAAAUUUCACAUCUCCACUGAUGAACCGGGGCAUUUAGGGAUUAAGGUCCAGCUUGUGUGCAGCCAUCAAGAGGUGAUCCCCUGCUCCCAAGGAUGCUAAGCACAUGGCUCAUGGGCUCUAUCUGGGAGAUGA